GAUGAACGCUGGCGGCGUGCCUAACACAUGCAAGUCGAGCGAGGAUGAGGAAGCUUGCUUCCAAAUCCUAGCGGCGGACGGGUGAGUAACGCGUGGGCAACCUACCCUAUGCAGGGGGAUAACAUUGGGAAACCAGUGCUAAUACCGCAUAAAGCCGAGAAGGGGCAUCCCUUUAUGGUCAAAGAACUUCGGCAUAGGGUGGGUCCGCGUCUGUUUAGUUAGUUGGUAAGGUAACGGCUUACCAAGACGAUGAUCAGUAGCCGAACUGAGAGGGUGACCGGCCACACUGGAAAUGAGACACGGUCCAGACUCCUACGGGAGGCAGCAGUGGGGAAUAUUGCACAAUGGGGGAAACCCUGAUGCAGCAACGCCGCGUGAGCGAAGAAGGCCUUCGGGUCGUAAAGCCCUGUCCUAAGGGAAGAUAAUGACGGUACCUUAGGAGGAAGCCCCGGCUAACUACGUGCCAGCCGCCGCCGUAA
rnacentral:rRNA from 1 species